AGGAGCAUAGCUCAAUCGGUAGAGCGUCGGUCUCCAAAACCGAAGGUUAGAUGUUCAAUUCAUCUUACUCCUG
rnacentral:tRNA from 1 species